CCUACGGGUGGCAGCAGUGGGGAAUAUUGCACAAUGGGGGAAACCCUGAUGCAGCCACGCCGCGUGGAUGAAGAAGGCUUUCGGGUUGUAAAGUACUUUUAGUGGGGAGGAAAAUAGUAAAGUUAAUACCAUAAGCCAUUGACACUACCCUCACAAGAAGCACCGGCUAACUCAGUGCGAGCAGCCUCGGUAAUACCGAGGGUGCAAGAGUUAAUCGGAAUGACUGGGCGUAAAGAGAGCGAAGGCGGUUUGGUAAGUCAGAUGUGAAAUCCCCGGGCUCAACCUGGGAACGGCAUGUGAUACUGGCAGACUAGAGUAUGGGAGAGGGAGGUGGAAUUCCAGGUGUAGCGGUGAAAUGCGUAGAGAUCGAGAGGAAUACUGGUGGCGAAGGCGGCCUCCUGGACGAAAACUGACGCUGAGGCGCGAAAGCGUGGGGAGCAAACAGGAUUAGAUACCCGGGUAGUC
rnacentral:rRNA from 1 species